UGCUUAUUCGAAAAAAAAUCCUAGUCAUUUGGCAAAUAAAACAAUUCCUAUUUUUGCUUUUUUUUGUGGCUAGUAAAAAUGGUUUGUUUGGUUGUUUGUAUGUUUGUGUGUUCCUUAUAGACUCAGAAACGGCUGAAUCGAUUUUCUUGAAAUUUCCUAAGAUGGUGCAUAAUGACCCCGUGGUGAAAAUAGGACCCUCCCCCUUACCCGAUUUAAGCGAAAUUUUGUGUGCUCUCAUAUAGUUCCCUAAAAAUAAAAAUUUUGCAUCCAAA